rnacentral:rRNA from 1 species
AGUAGGGCGGGACACGUGGUAUCCUGUCUGAAUAUGGGGGGACCAUCCUCCAAGGCUAAAUACUCCUGACUGACCGAUAGUGAACCAGUACCGUGAGGGAAAGGCGAAAAGAACCCCGGCGAGGGGAGUGAAAAAGAACCUGAAACCGUGUACGUACAAGCAGUGGGAGCACGCUUAGGCGUGUGACUGCGUACCUUUUGUAUAAUGGGUCAGCGACUUAUAUUCUGUAGCAAGGUUAACCGAAUAGGGGAGCCGAAGGGAAACCGAGUCUUAACUGGGCGUUAAGUUGCAGGGUAUAGACCCGAAACCCGGUGAUCUAGCCAUGGGCAGGUUGAAGGUUGGGUAACACUAACUGGAGGACCGAACCGACUAAUGUUGAAAAAUUAGCGGAUGACUUGUGGCUGGGGGUGAAAGGCCAAUCAAACCGGGAGAUAGCUGGUUCUCCCCGAAAGCUAUUUAGGUAGCGCCUCGUGAAUUCAUCUCCGGGGGUAGAGCACUGUUUCGGCAAGGGGGUCAUCCCGACUUACCAACCCGAUGCAAACUGCGAAUACCGGAGAAUGUUAUCACGGGAGACACACGGCGGGUGCUAACGUCCGUCGUGAAGAGGGAAACAACCCAGACCGCCAGCUAAGGUCCCAAAGUCAUGGUUAAGUGGGAAACGAUGUGGGAAGGCCCAGACAGCCAGGAUGUUGGCUUAGAAGCAGCCAUCAUUUAAAGAAAGCGUAAUAGCUCACUGGUCGAGUCGGCCUGCGCGGAAGAUGUAACGGGGCUAAACCAUGCACCGAAGCUGCGGCAGCGACGCUUAUGCGUUGUUGGGUAGGGGAGCGUUCUGUAAGCCUGUGAAGGUGUGCUGUGAGGCAUGCUGGAGGUAUCAGAAGUGCGAAUGCUGACAUAAGUAACGAUAAAGCGGGUGAAAAGCCCGCUCGCCGGAAGACCAAGGGUUCCUGUCCAACGUUAAUCGGGGCAGGGUGAGUCGACCCCUAAGGCGAGGCCGAAAGGCGUAGUCGAUGGGAAACAGGUUAAUAUUCCUGUACUUGGUGUUACUGCGAAGGGGGGACGGAGAAGGCUAUGUUGGCCGGGCGACGGUUGUCCCGGUUUAAGCGUGUAGGCUGGUUUUCCAGGCAAAUCCGGAAAAUCAAGGCUGAGGCGUGAUGACGAGGCACUACGGUGCUGAAGCAACAAAUGCCCUGCUUCCAGGAAAAGCCUCUAAGCAUCAGGUAACAUCAAAUCGUACCCCAAACCGACACAGGUGGUCAGGUAGAGAAUACCAAGGCGCUUGAGAGAACUCGGGUGAAGGAACUAGGCAAAAUGGUGCCGUAACUUCGGGAGAAGGCACGCUGAUAUGUAGGUGAAGUCCCUCGCGGAUGGAGCUGAAAUCAGUCGAAGAUACCAGCUGGCUGCAACUGUUUAUUAAAAACACAGCACUGUGCAAACACGAAAGUGGACGUAUACGGUGUGACGCCUGCCCGGUGCCGGAAGGUUAAUUGAUGGGGUCAGCGCAAGCGAAGCUCUUGAUCGAAGCCCCGGUAAACGGCGGCCGUAACUAUAACGGUCCUAAGGUAGCGAAAUUCCUUGUCGGGUAAGUUCCGACCUGCACGAAUGGCGUAAUGAUGGCCAGGCUGUCUCCACCCGAGACUCAGUGAAAUUGAACUCGCUGUGAAGAUGCAGUGUACCCGCGGCAAGACGGAAAGACCCCGUGAACCUUUACUAUAGCUUGACACUGAACAUUGAGCCUUGAUGUGUAGGAUAGGUGGGAGGCUUUGAAGUGUGGACGCCAGUCUGCAUGGAGCCGACCUUGAAAUACCACCCUUUAAUGUUUGAUGUUCUAACGUUGACCCGUAAUCCGGGUUGCGGACAGUGUCUGGUGGGUAGUUUGACUGGGGCGGUCUCCUCCUAAAGAGUAACGGAGGAGCACGAAGGUUGGCUAAUCCUGGUCGGACAUCAGGAGGUUAGUGCAAUGGCAUAAGCCAGCUUGACUGCGAGCGUGACGGCGCGAGCAGGUGCGAAAGCAGGUCAUAGUGAUCCGGUGGUUCUGAAUGGAAGGGCCAUCGCUCAACGGAUAAAAGGUACUCCGGGGAUAACAGGCUGAUACCGCCCAAGAGUUCAUAUCGACGGCGGUGUUUGGCACCUCGAUGUCGGCUCAUCACAUCCUGGGGCUGAAGUAGGUCCCAAGGGUAUGGCUGUUCGCCAUUUAAAGUGGUACGCGAGCUGGGUUUAGAACGUCGUGAGACAGUUCGGUCCCUAUCUGCCGUGGGCGCUGGAGAACUGAGGGGGGCUGCUCCUAGUACGAGAGGACCGGAGUGGACGCAUCACUGGUGUUCGGGUUGUCAUGCCAAUGGCACUGCCCGGUAGCUAAAUGCGGAAGAGAUAAGUGCUGAAAGCAUCUAAGCACGAAACUUGCCCCGAGAUGAGUUCU